CGGAGUUAGCCGGUGCUUAUUCAUAUGGUACCGUCAUUAUCUUCCCAUAUAAAAGGAGUUCACACACCGAAAUGCGUCAUCCUCCACGCGGCGUUGCUGCAUCAGAGUUUUCCUCCAUUGUGCAAUAUUCCCC
rnacentral:rRNA from 1 species